rnacentral:rRNA from 1 species
AGUGAACGCUGGCGGUAGGCCUAACACAUGCAAGUCGAACGGCAGCACAGUAAGAGCUUGCUCUUACGGGUGGCGAGUGGCGGACGGGUGAGGAAUACAUCGGAAUCUACUUUUUCGUGGGGGAUAACGUAGGGAAACUUACGCUAAUACCGCAUACGACCUACGGGUGAAAGCAUGGGAUCUUCGGACCUUGCGCGAUUGAAUGAGCCGAUGUCGGUUUAGCUAGUUGGCGGGGUAAAGGCCCACCAAGGCGACGAUCCGUAGCUGGUCUGAGAGGAUGGUCAGCCACACUGGAACUGAGACACGGUCCAGACUCCUACGGGAGGCAGCAGUGGGGAAUAUUAGACAAUGGGCGAAAGCCUGAUCCAGCCAUACCGCGUGGGUGAAGAAGGCCUUCGGGUUGUAAAGCCCUUUUGUUGGGAAAGAAAAGCAGCAGGUUAAUACCCCGCUGUUCUGACGGUACCCAAAGAAUAAGCACCGGCUAACUUCGUG